GAUGAACGCUGGCGGCGUGCCUAAUACAUGCAAGUCGAGCGAACAGACGCGGAGCUUGCUCCACUGACGUUAGCGGCGGACGGGUGAGUAACACGUGGAUAACCUACCUAUAAGACUUGGAUAACUUCGGGAAACCGGAGCUAAUACCGGAUAAUAUAUUGAACCGCAUGGUUCAAUAGUUAAAGACGGUUUUGCUGUCACUUAUAGCUGGAUCCGUGCGGCAUUGGCUAGUUGGUAAGGUAACGGCUUACCAAGGCAACGAUGCGUAGCCGACCUGAGAGGGGGAAGGCCGACACUGGAACUGAAACACGGUCCAGACUCCUAGGGGAGGCAGCAGUAGGGAAUCUUCCGCAAUGGGCGGAAGCCUGACGGAGCAACGCCGCGUGGGUGAUGAAGGUCUUCGGAUCGUAAAACUCUGUUAUUAGUGAAGACCAAAUGUGUAAGUAACUAUGCACGUCUUGACGGUACCUAAUCAGAAAGCCACGGCUAACUACGUG
rnacentral:rRNA from 1 species